AUGAAGAAGGCUCCAGAGCAGCACAGGAUGAAGAAGGCUCCAGAGCAGCACAGGACGACCGCCUCGGUGUUGACUGUUGUGACCAUAGUGGUCACGGUGGUGGCAGUGGUGUUGGCGAAGAGGACGGUGAUAGCGGAUGUGGGGAUGGCCCAGGAGGGGUUUGUGAUGGUGGCAAAGGCGGUGGCGCACAAGUUGGUGAAGACUUUGGUGGACAGUAUGGCAGCUACCAAGGAAGAGAGGAUGACGGCUGCUGAUGCAGAAAGGACGACGACAGUAGAGGAGAAAUCGUGGGUGACAAGGGUUAUGGAGAUGUGCCUGGAGAUGGCGAUGCGGAAGACAAUCGAAGGGUUGGUGCAGAAAGUGACAGCAGUGCUGGGGGAGAUGACAGUGGAGCAGAUAACUGUGGCAUCGGCAGUGCUGCCGGUGGUGGCAGCGGUGGUGGCCAUGGCACUAAGGUUCGUCAAGGAACCCGUCCAAGAAGAAGCCAUCAUGAUGGUGCUCUGCUCCAUCGCUGAGGAGAGGAAGAAGAGAGCUAAUGAGAAGGGCGCAAGUUUUUGGGCUUUCUUUGUAGGUCUGUUCAGAGCCCAAUCCAAAGAAACUGUUGGUAAUAAGAGCCUGGUGCAAAACUCGGAAGACUCCAGAGAGGACCGAUGGAAAGGCGAGGCUUCCCCCAGCAUGCAGGCCUACCCCAGCCCCCUCCCCAGGGGCAGCCACCGUGCCCGGUCUUGGGUAUUCCCUUACUCCCCUUGAAAUGGUCUUUGGAAACCAUAAUCAUUUCCUUGCGCUUGUGUUUAUUGAUGAAAGCUUAGAAAAAUGCAGAAAAGGAUCAGGAGACCACUAUCAGUGUCACCACCCAGAAAAUCACCCUUAACACAUGCCCCCAGCUCAGCCCACCCUCUAACACCUCGUGUCGGCAUCUGGCAUCUCCAACAUACUCACAUUCUUCCCGCUCAGACUCCUCUGAACAUUGUUACCAAUUAACACUGACAUCUGUGACGUCCUUUAAAAUGUCUCGUAAAUAUGCGUCAUGGCCGUGGAGCAUCCCGGCACUGAGCCCGGUCCCCGGUGUGGUUUUCCCUGCUGCAGCGAACAUUUUGUGUUAACCUCCUUCCUUCACAUCUUGGUGCCCUCCCCGCCUCAGGGUCUGGGGUACACAUCUCACUGCAUCUGCACCAAGACACAGGAGGAUGGUGCAUCAAAAUUCCUUAUUAGAUGGGUGAUUAUGGACAUCCUGGUGGGAUUCGGUUUUCUUUGCUAGUGGGGGUGACAAGGCCGGGGUGGCCUCCUGCUGGCCCUCUCCCCAGGUGGUGUUGACGCACCCCCCCCAGGCCCAGUGGCUGACUCCCAGCAGGGGGUGAGGGGGUCCCAGCCUGAGCAGAGGGCUGGCUGUGGGCUGGCCCCUACGCUGGCAGGGUGGUGGCCAGGUGGGCAGUGACAACGGGGUGGCCGGAAACAGCAGGGGGCUGCCAGCAGGGCAAAGAGGCAGCCGAGGAGGAGCCUUGGUGGUGGGGGGGGACCCAGUAAUUAUAGAAAGAAACCAUCUGUUCAGGCCAGUUUUUAACCUGCUUUGGGUGUGGACAUGACAGCGCCGAGCAAGGCUCUUCACAGGCAGAUGGUUGUAUUUUUAGCUGGAAUGAACUCUCUUAUUUUUCCGUCUUCUGAGAUGUCUGGGCUGGACGGUCCUCUCCCUGUUACCCAUUGAGAGGAGCCAUCCAGUGGGCAAGGCGGCGCAUCCUCUCUCUUCCCUCCCGCCUCCCUGGGUCACCUGCCAGGCCAGGAGGUGGCUCCUCAAGGAUGCCCUGUUAGGACUUCCCCUGGGCAGGGGGCUGGGGUCUUCCUGAGGUUUGAAUAAGCCACAAACACAGCGUCACCAUGUGUCCUGCAACGUGUCUGCAGAGAAACCAGAACGAGUCUCGAUCCCGAACAAUCAACAUAUGGGAAUGAAGAUCCGCCAGGACUGGCCUAAACCACCCCGGGAAGGGGGCUGUGGGGAGGUAAAUGGCUUUACUGGCCAGAGGAGGCUUCUCGGAAGACUUGCUAACAGCGGGUCAGGAGGCGAAGCUGGGGCCCAGCCGCCUGACUCGCAGCUUCAGGGCAACUGUGGGGACCCCAGAUGCUGGCAGGCACAGGGAGCCGCAAGGGGUUUCUCUCCAGUACUGACGUGGUGGCUGUUUCUUUCAUUCGUGUGCGUCUCAGGGACGGCCUUUCCCCGUUCUCCUUUGCAACGAAGCAAAAGCCUGAACAAUUAAUGAGUGAACGUCCAUACAAAUGACCAAACCCGCCUUUCUUUUUCUCUUCUGGUCCGAGGUGCUUGGGGAGCCGUGGGCUUUGGUGCAGACGUGGCCAACCCCAAGAACCAUACCACGCACAAGCAGUCAUGAAAAUGGCACAGAAAUGGCAUCAAGAAACCCCAGUCACGGGGGAUCCCUGGGUGGCUCAGCGGUUUAGCGCCGCCUUCAGCCCAGGGCGUGAUCCUGAAGUUCUGAGAUUGAGUCCCGCCUCGGGCUCCCGGCAUGGAGCCUGCUUCUCCCUCUGCCUGUGUCUGUGCCUCUCUCUCUGUCUUUCGUGAGUAAAUAAAUAAAAUCAUUAAAAAAAAAAAAAAAAAAAA
rnacentral:lncRNA from 12 species